GCCGGGCAUGGUGGCUCAUGCCUGUAAUCCCAUCACUUUUGGGAGGCUGAAGCGGGUGGAUCACCUGAGGUCAGGAGUUUGAGACCAGCCUGACCAAUACGGUGAAACCCCGUCUCUA
rnacentral:SRP_RNA from 1 species